UGCCUAAAGAUGUAAACAAUAGAGCGCGCUC
rnacentral:piRNA from 1 species